GAUGAACGCUGGCGGCGUGCCUAAUACAUGCAAGUCGAGCGAAUGGAUUAAGAGCUUGCUCUUAUGAAGUUAGCGGCGGACGGGUGAGUAACACGUGGGUAACCUGCCCAUAAGACUGGGAUAACUCCGGGAAACCGGGGCUAAUACCGGAUAACAUUUUGAACCGCAUGGUUCGAAGUUGAAAGGCGGCUUCGGCUGUCACUUAUGGAUGGACCCGCGUUGCAUUAGCUAGUUGGUGAGGUAACGGCUCACCAAGGCAACGAUGCGUAGCCGACAUGAGAGGGUGAUCGGCCACACUGGGACUGAGACACGGCCCAGACUCCUCCGGGAGGCAGCAGUAGGGAAUCUUCCGCAAUGGACGAAAGUCUGACGGAGCAACGCCGCGUGAGUGAUGAAGGCUUUCGGGUCGUAAAACUCUGUUGUUAGGGAAGAACAAGUGCUAGUUGAAUAAGCUGGCACCUUGACGGUACCUAACCAGAAAGCCACGGCUAACUACGUGCCAGCCGCCGCCGUAA
rnacentral:rRNA from 1 species